UACGAAGGGGGCUAGCGUUGCUCGGAAUCACUGGGCGUAAAGGGUGCGUAGGCGGGUCUUUAAGUCAGGGGUGAAAUCCUGGAGCUCAACUCCAGAACUGCCUUUGAUACUGAGGAUCUUGAGUUCGGGAGAGGUGAGUGGAAUUCCUAGCGUAGAGGUGAAAUUCGUAGAUAUUAGGAAGAACACCAGUGGCGAAGGCGGCUCACUGGCCCGGUACUGACGCUGAGGCGCGAAAGCGUGGGGAGCAAACAGG
rnacentral:rRNA from 1 species